UACGGAGGGGGCGAGCGUUAUUCGGAAUUAUUGGGCGUAAAGGGCGCGUAGGCUGUGCUGUAAGUCAGGCGUGAAAGCCCCGGGCUCAACCUGGGAAUUGCGCUUGAUACUGCGGCGCUGGAAGGUGGGAGAGGAUGGCGGAAUUCCCAGUGUAGAGGUGAAAUUCGUAGAUAUUGGGAAGAACACCGGUGGCGAAGGCGGCCAUCUGGCCCACAUUUGACGCUGAGGCGCGAAAGCGUGGGGAGCAAACAGG
rnacentral:rRNA from 1 species